CUAAACAUAUUACCGAAACUGUGGAUGAACCUCUUUAGAGGUUCGUGGUAGGAGAGCGUUCUAAGGGCGGUGAAGUCAGACCGGAAGGACUGGUGGAGCGCUUAGAAGUGAGAAUGCCGGUAUGAGUAGCGAAAGAAGGGUGAGAAUCCCUUCCACCGAAUAUCUAAGGUUUCCUGAGGAAGGCUCGUCCGCUCAGGGUUAGUCGGGACCUAAGCCGAGGCCGAUAGGCGUAGGCGAUGGACAACAGGUAGAGAUUCCUGUACCAGUGCUAAUUGUUUAACCGAUGGGGUGACACAGAAGGAUAGGGAAUCGCACGAAUGGAAAUGUGCGUCCAAGCAGUGAGUGUGAGAAGUAGGCAAAUCCGCUUCUCGCGAAGCAUGAGCUGUGAUGGGGAAGGAAAUUAAGUACGGAAGUUCCUGAUUUCACGCUGUCAAGAAAAGCCUCUAGGAAGAGUAGUACUGCCCGUACCGCAAACCGACACAGGUAGAUGAGGAGAGAAUCCUAAGGUGAGCGAGAGAACUCUCGUUAAGGAACUCGGCAAAAUGACCCCGUAACUUCGGGAGAAGGGGUGCUCUAUUA
rnacentral:rRNA from 1 species